ACGGCGAGGAGAGGAAGCUGAAUCUAGCGCAGGUUCCAGGAGAAGGAGAGGGGCUUCGGGUGGUGCGUUUGGAAUGUAGUGUGGACUCUGGGUCGCUAGUGCAAAAGGCUCUUCUCCAAGCGGUUCCCAUGUCAAUGCGAGAUCCAAGGUACUAUGCCGUUUGGUUGGCCUUUCUUCACUUGCCUUCCGUCUCUAUCUAUGCCUUUUUAUAUUUCAAACUAGCAUUUAUAAAAAAUAAAUAUCAUCAUGAGCCUAUUUUAAAUAAAUCAUAACUUUCGUUUGGGUUGGAUAUACAUAUGUUAAAAUAAGUCGUUCCCAUACAUGAUUGGUUAAUAUCAUUAAUUGGCCAUUUGAAAUUAGAUUAAUUUAAUUUAUUUUUAAUAAGUUAAAAUUUUAUAUUCUGAUUUAUUCAUUGCUAUUAAUAUUAAUUAUGUAUUAAUGAAUUAACUUAUUUAAAAAUACUUAUAUCUUAAUAUAAUUAAAAUAGAUUAAUUUAACUCGUUUUAUUACAAUAGAAUAAAAAUAUUUAUGUAUUUUACUAAACAUGUUAUAAAGAUUAUAGUUGAAAUUAAAAUAUCAAUUUACAUAAUUUGAUAAAUAAAUAAAUUAAUUUAAACUAAAUAAAUAUUAUUUGACAACAUCCUAAUAUUUAAAAAUAAUAGUAAAUAAUUAAUUGGUUUUAUUGUAAUUUGGAAUGUGGCUCUUUAGACAAGUGAUAUUAUGUGAUUGAGUUGGAGAAUUUUGAUGUAUGUUUUUAAAGGUUAAAAAGUGAAGAACACUAGUGCAAAAAUGUUGUUUAACGUUAGUUAAUUUGGGCUUUUAAUGUCAUUUUUCCAACCGACGUCUAUAUGGGUGACGUCGGAAUUCAUCCAACCGAUGUCUAUAUACACGUCAGUUAACGAUAUCCACCGAUGUCUAUAUAGACGUCUGCUUAUACUCAAACCGACGUCUAUUUACUCUAUAUAAACGUCCGCCUAUUCCUAAACCGAUGUCAACAUGAAUAUAUAGAGGUUGUAAAUGACACUAACCGACGUCUAUCUUCUUAUAGACGUUGGACCAUGCAUUAACCGACGUCUAACAAGGGCGUUGUGUUUUCGUGCAGUUUUGAUCUAGACUUUCGGUAGCAUUGUGUAACACUCUCCUCUUGCUAGUUUCUCCACAAAAAAAGCUUGCGUCUUUUGAAUCUUCUAUGACAUUCAACCCAAAACCGAACCUGGGUCCAUGACUACUUCCCAUUAUUCAACCGCAAAAUAAAAAAAUUACGGUGACACGAGAACUAGACAAGGACCCAAGUUCCAUUUUGGGUCGGAAGCCAUUGAAAACUCAAAAGAUCGUCACUCUAUUUGUGAGGAAACCAACAAAGGGAGAAUGUUACACUAUGUUACCCAAAGAGAGGAUCAAAACUGCACUAAAACACAACACAAAGAAAACAAAUUUUAAUCAGUUGAACCACAAGAUAAUCGAUAAAAAACUAAAGAAAGUUUAAACGGUAAGCAUUAAAAAAAACACUCACCUGGGAUGCAAGAGAGAAAAAGAAGAGGAUGAAGACAAUAACAUAUUGAGAAACGACAAUGCAAUGCCGCAAGAGAUAAAAAGUAGAGGUACGUAAGCGAGUAAAAGAAGAGGAGAAGCANAGAAAAAGGAGAAGAGAUGAAGACGAGAUCAGAAACUGAAUGGUGAGAAGAGUCUNCGGUCUAUUUAAAAUGAAAUGGGGCAUCGGUUGUUCCAGAAACCGACGUCUAUAGACGUCGGUGUUUCAAGGGAUCCGACGUCUAUGAAGCUAAAAAGAUUGAUGUUUUGGUUUCCUGUCAGGGUAGUUCACGUCGGUGCCCCUCACAGCCGAUGUCUAAAACCCUCGAAUUUGGUGAGAAUACAGGAACUUAGACGUCGGUGCCUCUCAGAACCGACGUCUACAUUGAAGAAUUUUUGUCUUCCCGCCUUCCAGAUAGGCCUUAGACGUCGGCGUUUGACUACGUGACGUCUAGUUGCCUGGGGAAUUAGGUGAACAACAUUAAUUGUAGCCCAGUCGACGUCGCUUUUUCACGGGAUCUGACGUCUAUUCGACGUCUAAAGCUGAACCGGUUGACGUUUGAUUUCCUGUCAGUGAUGUAGACGUCGGUGCCCUUGCUAGCCGACGUCUAAGCUCUUGGGAAUUUGAUGGACAACAUUAAUUGCAGCCUAGUAGACGUCGGUCCCCGUGAACACCGACGUCAAUGGACUGUCUUAUCACAUACCUCAGGCAAUUAGACGUCAGUUUGCGGCAGGUGCGACGNCUAUGAUGUCAUAGACGUCGCCUGACAUCGAAACAGACGUCUAGUUUUCCAAUUUAUUUACGCUAAUGCCACCGUGCAGAAAUAGAUGUCGGAUUUUCACGGAACCGACGUCUAAGGAGUGACGUUAAACAACGUUUUUGCACUAGUGGAAAGAUCUAUUUGUAAAGACUUUCAAAUACUUAAAUUAAUAAGAGAGUUGAAUCUUGUAUGUAUAAAAUAAUAGGUAUGAGUUUGUAGCUGUAAAAUUUAGAGGUAAUUUGACCAAAUCCAAUCUAUUUCCAAAACCAUAAGAAGAAAUGAAAACAAAAAUUAAAUUAAAAACUCUUACUUGAUGGAGAAGAAGAUGCAAACAAACACACGAAAAUGCAAAAGAGGGCACACAAAAGCAUAAAGAAGCAAAUUGUUUCGCAAGGAGGACGUUGGACAAGAAUGAAAAGUGAGAAAGAAGUGUAAAAGAUAAAGAUAAAAUUGUAAUUAAUGAGGUGAAACUAUAGUCUUUCGGUAGGUGAGCACUUCCUACUCAUUGGGCGAGUGACCUCGUUUUUAAAAAAAAUAAGGUUUGAUUCAACCAUCCUGUUAUGAUAUUGAAUGUUGUCUUACUGGUUGGACGAGUAGCUCAGUUCCCUCCAAAUCCAAAGUUUUUCAAAAUAAAAUAAAGCUUUUAAAUUAUUUUUGUACAAAUAUAAAAACUACUCGCUAGAUUAGAGGUUUGCUCACCUUAUGAGUUGUUGUUGCAAGGGUCAAAAGAACACACAAACUUCACUGGCCAUCAAAACAUGGAUCUAGCGAAAGCAUAAACAGAGAGAUUUAGUCGUUAUACGAGUAGUUAGUCGCCUAACAAGUGUAGAAACAACAAGCUUUGAUGGCAAGGCUAGAAUUAAUAGCCUAGUGAGGGAAGAAACAAAAAGUUUUGGUCACUAGGUGAGAGAUUGGUGCUUUAGGGACUUUAUUGGCUGGAAAACUUGGGCGAGAGAGAGCUUUGCUAGAUGAGUUUGCAUAACUGUUAAGCUUAUUAUUCUGCAAAACCAAACUCGUUGGGUGAGCUACUUUCUCCCUGAGCGAACCUGACAUUAAAAUUACACCAUAUACAUGCAUAAACAACAUUCAUAAAUUAAAAUAAAGCAGUAAACACCAGGUUGCCUCCUAGCAAACACUUAUUUAACGUCAUUAGCUCGAUGCCUAUAAGCUUAAGGGUCAGCUAGAUGAAUGAUUGUGGUGAGACAUUCUUUGUGGAUGCUUAAGCCAUUAACCAUUUACUACCCAACAUCUUUGUGGAUCACUUGAAGAUGGAUCCAUCAACUCUAUUGCUCCAUGUUACAUGAUGGUGAAAGGUUCAAUUAUUUGUCUAAUUGGAAGUCUUUCUUCAACAACUUCCCAUCAUGAUAUAUUUUGACCUUCUCCUUGUAGCUUUUGGAGGUCUUAUAAGCAUUCUGGUGUAUCUCAUUAAGCUCAAGCAAUUAAAUUUUUCUCUUCUUAAUAGACAUAGAGGGAUCAAAAUUUAAAAACUUCAAAGCCUAGUAAGCUUUGUGUUCCAUCUCAACCGGCAAGUGACAUGUUUUGCCAUAGAUAAAUUGGAAAAGAAAUAACUUUAUUCGAGUUUUCAUGGUAGUUUUGUAAGCCUAGAGAGCAUCAUCAAGCUUCAAUGGCCAAUCUUUUCUAGAUGAUGCUAUAUUCUUCUUCAAAAUCUUCUUUAUCUCCUGGUUAGACACUUUAGCUCGCCCAUUAAUUUAUAGAUGAUAUGGUGAAAUAACUUUGUGUCUCACUUCAUAAUGCUUCAAGACUUUGACCAAUUUAGCAUUGCAAAAAUGGGGUCCUCUAUCACUAAUGACCCUGGGAACUCCAAAUCGAGAGAAGAUUUGUCUUUUGAGAAAAUUGAUGAUUGUAUUAGCAUCAUUUUUCUGAUAGACUACUGCUUCUACUCAUUUGCUAACAUAGUCCACUAUAACAAGAAUAUACUUAUUGUUGAAAGAAGGAAGAAAGGGAACAAUAAAGUCUAUUCCCCAACAAUCAAAGACCUUAACCUCCAAAAUUGCCCUGUAGUGGCAUUUCAUGCCUUCUUGAGAUGUUUCCAAUCCUCUGGCAUUUAUCAUAGCUCCUAGCAUAAGUCUGAGCAUCUUUAAACAAAGUGGGCCAGGAGAACACAAAUUGAAGCACUUUUGAGGUUUUCCGUUCCUCAUUGAAGUGUUUAUCACAUGGCAAGUUGUGGCAGUGCCAUAGGAUUCGUUCAACUUCCUUUACACACCAUCUCAAAAGAUUAUCAUCAUAAUCAUUCAUCUGGUUGACCUUUGAGCUUACAAGCGUCAAGCUAAUAACGUUAAACAAGCGCUUACUGGGAGGUAACCCAGUGUUUAGUGCUUUCUCUUAAUUUUUGGAUGUUGUUUUUACAUGUAUAGGGUGUCGCUUUUGUGUCAGGUUUGUCUAGCGAGAGAGUAGCUCACCCAACGAGUUUGGAUUUAUAGAAAAACAAGCUUAAACAUUAUGCAAAAUCGCCCAACGAAGAUCUCUCUCGCUCAACGAACAAGGUCCCUAUAAUUGCCAAAUUUUCUAGCCAAGAAAGUCGUUGGAGCACCAAUCUCUCGCCCAACAACCAAAGGUUUCUCUUUCUCCCAUCGUUAGGCCACUGAUUCUGGCCUAGCCACCAAACCAUGUUGUUUUUUCACUCAUUGGGCUGCUCUCCCAACGACUAAAUAUAUCUAUUUAAGCUCUCGCUAGGCCCAUGUUUUGAUAGCCAACGAGUUUUGUGUGUUUUUUUGACCCUUGCAACAACUCGCUGGACGAGCAUACCUCUAACCCAACUAGUAGCUUUUGUUUUUGUACAAAAAUAAUUUAAAAGCUUUAUUUUAUUUUGAAAAAAAUUGGUUUUGGAGGGAACUAAGCCUAGUGAGCCUACCUAACUCGUCCAAAGAGUGAUACAACAUUCAACGUUGUUAGAAGGUUAUUGAGUCAAACCUUGUUUUUUCUGAAAACAAGGUCACUUGCCCAACAAGUGGUAAGUGCUCGUCCACUCAGAGGCUAUAGUUUCACCUCAUUGAUUACAGAUUUAUUGUUAUCUUUUAUACUUCUUUUUCACUUUUCAUUCUCGCUAAACCUCCUUCUCGCCAAACCCUUUGCUUCUUUGUGUUUUUAUGUACCCUCUUCUGCAUUAUUGUUUGUUUGCUUGCAUCUUCUCCUCCAUCAGGUAAGAUUUCUUAGUUUAAUUUUUGUUUUCAUUUCUUUUUGUGGUUUUGGAAGUAGUUUAUAUUUAGGGUUUGUACUAAAUUUGUGUCAAUAUAUAUUUUCUUCUCUAGGGUUGUUUAUGUUGGGAAACAUGUAGGCUUCGUUUUACACCAAGAGCGGGGGGGGGGGGGUUUCAAUUGGUGAGUUUUCAAAAUCAGAGUCUUUUUAAAAUCUUUAAAGCAAAGUUGAAAACUUUACAAGUCUUUAAAGUAAAGUAAUGAAAUUUGUGUGCAGUGAAAAAUCGUAGUUGACUACGCAGAUAUCACAGUCGACUGAAAAUAAAAGAGUAGGGAUAGAGAAAUCAAACACUGGUUUUUAUAUUGGUUCGGCCAACAAUGCCUACAUCCAGUGUCCUUCCAACCUAGGAAGCAAAUGCACUAUAAUGGUCAAGGUUUUUACAACAAGGAAUUUAUAGAAGACCUUCACGUCAAAAAUAUAAAUCUCCUCUUUAACCAUCUAACCAAAAUAUAGGCAUACAACAUAGCAGAACUUGCAGCAAGAUGUCCCCUCUCCUACAAUCCGCCAAACACCACUUUGAACAAUCAUCAAAGUGAACCAGAUUCCACGAGUCUAUCCCCUAUAGUCACAACAGGUACACACAUCAAUCUUCAAGGAUGCCAAGCGAAAUCUUGAUAAAACCAGAUGCACCUUCAGUGUGCAAAAAAUGAUUAACCAAUAAGUGCGCAAACAAUCUCCUUUUGAAUCUCUUUCAAGAAAGAUUACCAUCAUCUUCUUGGAGAAUUCUUGGAGCUCUAUAAACCAGAGAUAUCAAUCUAAAACAGAAUGUAGAAAUGUUAGAUCAUCAAAAGUCUCUGAACAAUUUCGUGUUCAGACUAUUUAUAGAAUUCUGUUAAACAAAUGUUCUCAUAGUCGAAUAAGCUACUAAUCCAGUCGACUAAGUUAAGACAGUUAUAACAGUUAAGUCAGACCAAUAGCAUACAGUCAACCAAAAUAAAUUCUCAUUCAAUACAGUUGACUCUCAAUCAAGGCUCAACUAACUUUUGAAAAUAUAGUCGUUACUAUACAUGAGCGUAACAGAAUUUCAAAACAAACAACUAAUGUAGUCGAAUGUGUGGCACACACAGUCGACUUCGACAUGUCAGAGCAAAUUGAAAUUCUUUUCUUCUCAAAAUCUCACAAAGCACUGAUUCCCAAAAUCUGUACAAAGACUUUAGCAUAGUCGAUUCAAUUAUUAUUAGAGUCGACUUUACUGCAACUUUGUCACACAAUUAUAAGUUCACAAAAGUACUUAUGGUUUUCAUGCUUAAAAACAAGUGUAAUGCAUCCAGAUAUGAUGUAACAUGUACAAGCUCAAUGAGUAUGCAUAUACACAACAAUAUAGAACAAAAACAUGUUCAACAAAUAUAUCAAACAAUCAACAUAAGAACAUGUAUAGAAACAACAACAUAUGUGUGUUAUUAAGCGAUGUGUUGUCAUCAUAAAAAAUCAGAGUGAUAUAGAUAUUGUGUAGUCAACAAUCUCAACAGUUUAAUUGUUACCCUUCAAUGCUUUGUGAUGUGCAUGUUGUUUUAAUUUCUUGUUGUGUUUUGUAUAUGCUUUGUUCAUGCCUUGUUUGUGCAUUUCUUGUUGUUUCUCGAUGUUGUUCUUCAUCACUCAUUGGGCCCAUGGUGUUGGCGCGCCCAACAAGCCAUGUUUUGGCUAAGUGCCAACAUGAGGCUUGUGCCUAGCGAUUGAAGCUCUCUUUUUUGCAGCUUGCCCAGCAAGCCUGUCACUCGCCUAGUAAGUUGACCUUGUUGUGAUGUGCUAAAAAACUCGUUGGGUAAAGCCUUGCUCUUGCCUAGCGAGUUAUGUGUUGUUUUGUAAAUAAUUGUGCAUUUACUAACCUCUUUGGCUAUAAUAAUCUUCAUUUUGCAAAUGGUCCCUCUAAAUCCUAUCAAGCACCUAAAAAGAGAAAUGUCUCUAAAGGUUUUUAAUUCCGCAAUCUUGAAUAAAAUAUAUGGAGAUUGAUUUGAUUAACAACUAUAAUCAACACAAAUUUUCUUCUAAGGUAUCUGCUAAUAGAUUUUUGAAGAUCAAACAAAGAAGCCUCAUAAUGGAGAGGAAGGUCAGGUUGUAUCAAGGGGAAUAUGAUGAGUUCAGCUUGGAGCUCGAGAAACGGUAAUGAGAUGAGGUGUUAGGGGACCUACCUAAUGAAAUUGAUAAAAUGUUGGUUAAGGAGUUCUUCAUCAAUGCCUACAACCUGGAUGGAAAUGGGUCAAGCAAUGCAAAGUGAGGGGCAAGCUCAUAAAGUAUGAUAGGAGGAUCCUUAAUGCCUUCCUAAGGACCUCACCCGCUUCAUCUAGUCAGGUCAUGCACUUUAGUGAAUUUUUGAGUGGCCACAAAGAGCAUGAUGAGAUAGCCUCUACCUUGGGCACAUAUAUGUUGGGUGUCAGCAUAAUGGAUGACCUUCAAAAUAAUGCAUGCAAGCUAGAAGAGCUCGGAGAACAGCUAUUCCCAAGGACAUGGAGUGCCGAACACCUAAAGAUACAUUACAAUUAAAGAAUACCAUGGAGAUGGCACCGAAGUUACUAGAUUGAAACAUGAAAAAAGACCAUAGAGUUGACACUAGAGUUACUAGAUUUUAACCUGAGAAAAGAUCACAAAGUUGACACUUGAGUUACUAUAUCGUAACUUGAGAAAAAACCACAAAGUUGGUACUCGAGUUACUAGAUUGUAACAUGAGAAAAAACCAUGGAAUUGACAUUCAAGUUAUUAGAAGAUCAAUUCCAAGAGAAAAUCAGUAUUUUAAUAUCCGAGUAAAAAAAUAAGAGCAACUUACAAUACUCGAGUAUGAGAGUCGUAAAAUUGGUACUCUCCUCAUCCAGAACAACAUUGGCCUUAAACCUUAUAACCUUUUCAUUUAGACAGACCACUUCCUCGUGAAGAGCCUGAAACUCAUCGUUUUUUGGAUGUCAAGGCCACUUUCACCUUACUAAUCAGUUUUUCGAACAUCAAAGUCGCCUUCGUCCUAUGCUUGCUAGAAUUUAUAAGUCAACUGACCUAAAUGGAUGAAGUUUUGUACCAACCCAAGUUUUUGCUCGUCAGGUUUUUGGCCAAUUUCCACACACAAGCCAACUAGGUCAUCCAUUUCAAUCUUCACCUUAGUCGCUUUUGCUUGAAGAUUCAUUUUAACAUUCUUGAAUUUUUUCUUGAUCCCUUUCAAUUGGGACAACUCUAGGUUUUCGCUCGUUAGUUUCUAGUUAACUUUCAAACACAGGCUGCCCCGACUGACCACCUCGACCUUCACCUCUACCUUUUUCACAUUCUUCUACAGUAGGCAAUUUCAAGAAAAGACAAGCUAAAAAUAAACUAAGAAUAACACGAGAAAUACUUGAAGAGGGUGCUCACAGUGAAGCAAGUUAAAAUUUAUCAUUAAUGCUAAAAAAAUAUAGUAUAGAUGAAAGUUAAAAGUUAUCACCAAUUUGGCCAAAAAUGAGAAUCAAGAUCUACCCAAACCAAUAGUAUCCAACAAAAUUUGUCUAAAGUCUGCAACACCUAAUUGGGUCUGCCCAAGCCAACAAUCUAGAAUAAUGCUUGCUUAAAGUCAACAACAUAAGACUAAGGGAAUAUUCUUAUAUAGUGACUAUCGAACGAACUCGCACUAGUGCAAAAACAGCGUAUAACGUCACGCGUUUAACGUCCAGUCACUCAAUAGCCAACGUUAAACAUGACCGAUGGCACUUUUGUAAAUAAAUGCAAUUAUUAAAUGUCGUUUAGAAUUGUAAUUCGACGUAAAAAGAUAUAAAACAUCGAAUGUUGCGUUAGACGUCAAAAGGUUUUCAAUUCAAAUUUGAGCAGGAGAUUGAAAAUUUAUUGACUUUAUCUUUAGCGCGCGAGACCCUCUUUUUUGCUCAAACUUUUCUCAAACGAAGUUUGACGACCAUCACAUGUAAUCUUUCUUUCAUUUAAUACAAAUGCAUGUCAAUGAAUUACUUUAGGUAUGAUUUUUGUUUGUUUUCACCGAUUAUUUUUGUGUUUUUGUCUUCCAUAGGCGCAUCCUGUUUUCUCUCUCACUAGUGGCAAUACUUUAUUCUGAUGAACCCACCUUUUUGCUGAAUGACCAAAUGAUAUAUGAGCUCGGUCGAAUGUCCAAUCCACUUGCAAACUCUACAAGUUGAUGUCGACCACAAGAACAAUCACGAGCGUUCCUCACGUUAAAUUAAAAUUUUGAGAUUAGAUGACUUAUGUACAUAUUCGAUCCAAAUGUGCUAAGUGGCAUAGUCCAACAAGAAUCCUUUACUAAAUCUUAGUAGUUUUAUUAUAACUUUUAAUAGUCAUUAAUAUCUUUUAAUAAUAUGUCUUUAAUAGAUGAUAUUGCUUAUUUAAAUCACAUAUAUGACAUAUUCUUAAGAUGUUAUAAAUACAUAUGUAUUUCAUUAGGAAAGAGACUCUAAAACUUAUACUAUUUUAUAUAUAAAAUAUCUCAUUCUCUUAGUAACUUAAGCGUCACAAAAUAUUUUAUAAGUGUUACUUUCCCAACUUUUCAAUCUUGAGCAUGGUUAGGAUUCUCCAAUCCAAUCACAUACCAUUUGUGUAAAAGUCACGCUCUAGAUUCCGGUAAAAAUAUUAAUAAAUAAUAUUUGAAAAAAUUGAAUAAUUAAUUACUUUGUCUGUUAAAUUAUAUGGAUUGACAUUUUAAUUUUCACUUAUUAUCUUUAUGGUAAUACUUAGUGAAAUAGGUAAACAAUUUUAUUGGUUAUAAUAUUGCUAUAAAUAAAUGAGUUGAAUAAAUUAUAAAUUACGUAAGUCAACAAUUUAACUCACUAAUAUGUAAUGAAUUCUAUUUGAUUAGCAAAAUUUUCACUUUGACCUCAUAAAAAAGGUAAACCAAAUAAAAGCAAAAUUAAAAACUAGGAAUUUUUUUGUACUCCUAAGGAUUCGAAUAUAAAAGAAUCCAAAUGCAGAUACAGUAAACAAAUGUAGUACAAGUGACUUUAUAAAGUAAGAAGAAAAGUAAACAUACCAAAAAAUAGUGAAUCGAGAAGCAUCUUGUACACACUACUACUUUCGGAUGAGGAGAAGAAAGGUUUAGCACGGUCCCUUUAAGCCAAAAUUUGGCUCAUUAAUAGAGAAAUAUCUGAAAUGGUCACAACUCUCUGCAUUGUUUCUAUGUCAGUGUCUUCUAAAUUUCAUAUUACUUUACUAUUUCAUUGAAUCAUUAGAAUUAAUUUAAUCCUUGUUGAUUGUGUCGGUCAACAACAUUGGAAAGGUGAAUCAUAAGAUGAAUCAUAUGUUUGAUGAAAAAAAUGAAUGAUGAGUUGCACAUGAUGAAUAAUUCUAUGGUUGGUCCUUUGUGUGCAGUUUGGAGACCGCAGCGAGGAAGCCCCUCCACACAAAACUGGCAAUGCUUGUCACAGCCUUACCCUCCAUACCAUCACAUCAUCAUUACUUGCCUUCUCUAUUGUCCUUUGUUAGGUCACUUAUUGAAACUCUUGCAUUCAUCUCAACUACCUCUGCUAAUAAUUUUAAGAUUUACAGUUCACAGACAAUAACAAUAUUUUCUUAUUAGAUUUUGACGAAGUUCCUAAGAUGGAGUAAAUAAGGUUUUCAAGAG
rnacentral:lncRNA from 1 species